CUGUCCUGCAAUUUGUUGUUUAGGUAGUUCUUAGAGAAAAUGUUACUGGUAGAUUUAAAUUGGGUUGUUCAAGUGUCACGGGAUUUUAUUUAACCAAACAAGUUAAAUAGUACAACGUGGAGAAUCAAACUUAUUCCAAGACUACACGACCAUCACCACCACUCCGUGCGAAAACCUCGGACGCACAGCUGUCGAUGUCCCACAAUGCACCAGUGAUCUAGCAGCGGCGGCUAACCACCACAUUUGACCCUGUGUGUGCCAUGAUGAUAAACUAGACAUCCGGGCUGUGUGCAUGGAAGAUGGCGACACUUACCCUUCCUAGUGAAUGGAUCAAAAACUGGGAAAAAACAGGAAAACAUGAGUUUGUACAACUCUGCAAAGACCUUACAGAGAAAGCAGAUCAUGGAAGUGAAAUUAAAGACAUACAGACUGCCUUAUAUGAGCUCUGCUGGCAAGUUGUACAGGGGAACCUCAAGUUGGAUCUUGUCACCAGCGUCCUUGGGGACAUGAUGGAACUCCGAGAAGACAUGCCAUCAGUUUUAGCAGAUGUGUUCAGUAUACUAGAUUUAGAGACUAGUGCACUGGAAGAAAAAAACAAACGUGACCAUUACACACAGCUGGUCGGAGCAUGUUUGUUUUGUGUCCCUGAAGCCAUUCUGAAAGAGAGGCUGGAUCCAGAAACUCUCGAGUCCCUUGGACUUAUAAAACAAGCCCAUCAGUUCAAUCAGAAAAUUGUUAAAAUCAAGACUAAACUAUUUUACAAACAGCAAAAGUUUAACCUGCUAAGAGAGGAGAACGAGGGCUACGCCAAACUAAUCACUGAGCUAGGCCAAGACCUGUCGGGGAAUAUUACCAGCCAUAUUGUUCUGGAGAGCAUCAAAUCCCUCAUAGGAUGUUUCAACCUAGACCCCAACCGAGUAUUGGACAUAAUUCUGGAGGUGUAUGAGAGUCGAUCUGACCAAGAUGAGUUCUUCCUGUCCCUCAUCAAGUCUUACAUGUGUGAGCCUCUCACCCUUUGCCACAUCCUGGGCUUUAAGUUCAAAUUCUACCAGGAGCCCAAUGAGGAAACCCCAAAGUCACUUUACCAUAUUGCUGCUGCUCUCCUUCACUAUAACCUGAUAGAGCUGGAAGAUCUUUACGUACAUCUUAUGCCACUAGAUGCCGCCAUCAUAGAGGAGCACAAACGAGACAUCUCAGAGGCAAAGCAGAUAGCUCGCAAGCUGGUCAUGGUUGUGUUGCCCUCUGAGAAAAGUGAGGACAAAGAAAAAGACAAAGAGAAGGAAGAGGAGAAAAAUGACAAGCCACCUGAUAACCAGAAGCUUGGUCUGUUGGAAGCGCUGCUCAGGAUCGGAGAUUGGCACCAUGCCCAGAGUAUUAUGGACCAGAUGCCUUCCUUCUAUGCCACUUCUCACAAGGCCAUCGCGCUGGCACUCUGCCAGCUUGUGCACCUGACUGUGGAGCCUCUUUACAGAAGGGCUGGUGUUCCUAAAGGGGCAAGAGGAUGUGUAAUGCACCCACUAAGGAGCAAGCGGGCCCCUCAGCCUGCAGAGAGCUUUGAGGACCUAAGGAGGGACACAUUCAGCAUGCUCUGCUACCUGGGCCCUCACCUCUCCCAUGACCCUAUCCUCUUUGCCAAGAUUGUGCGUCUUGGCAAGGCAUUCAUGAAAGAGUACCAAAGUGAUAACAGACCUGAGGUGAAAGACAAAAUGGACACACUGUUGAGCUGUUUCCUGAGUAUUGCAGACCAGGUGCUACUCCCGUCACUCUCUCUGAUGGAGUGCAAUGCUUGCAUGUCUGAGGAGCUGUGGGGUCUCUUCAAACUCUUUCCCUACCAGCAUAGGUAUCGGUUAUAUGGGCAAUGGAAGAAUGAGACAUAUUCCAGCCAUCCAUUAUUGGUUAAAGUCAAAGCUCAGACCGUGGAUAGGGCCAAAUACAUCAUGAAGCGGUUGACCAAAGAGAACGUGAAACAAUCUGGAAGGCAGAUUGGAAAACUGAGCCAUAGUAAUCCCACCAUCCUCUUUGAUUAUAUCCUGUCUCAGAUCCAAUGGUACGACAACCUCAUCAGCCCCGUGGUCGACUCCCUGAAAUACCUCACAUCCCUCAACUACGAUGUCUUGGCCUAUUGCAUAAUUGAGGCUCUGGCCAAUCCUGAGAAGGAAAAGAUGAAGCACGAUGACACUACCAUCUCCUCGUGGCUUCAGAGCCUGGCAAGUCUGUGUGGAGCUGUGUUCAGAAAGUACCCGAUUGAGCUGGCUGGCCUCCUUCAAUAUGUCACCAAUCAACUAAAAGCAGGGAAAAGUUUUGACCUGUUGAUCUUGAAAGAAGUGGUGCAGAAAAUGGCUGGCAUUGAGAUCACCGAUGAGAUGACCUCGGAACAGUUAGAAGCCAUGACGGGAGGCGAGCAACUCAAAGCCGAGGGUGGAUACUUCGGCCAGAUCAGAAACACUAAAAAGUCGUCUCAGCGUCUGAAGGAGGUGCUUCUGGAUCACGAACUAGCACUACCGUUGUGUUUACUCAUGGCCCAGCAACGAAACGGCGUGGUUUUCUUGGAGGGUGGAGAGAAACAUCUUAAACUUGUUGGACAUCUGUAUGACCAGUGUCAUGACACACUAGUGCAGUUUGGUGGUUUUCUGGCCUCCAACCUCAGCACGGAAGACUACAUCAAGCGGGUUCCCUCUAUUGACAUCCUUUGUAACCAGUUCCACACUCCACAUGACGCUGCAUUCUUCUUGUCUAGGCCAAUGUAUGCCCAUCAGAUACUGUCUAAGUAUGAUGAGUUGAAGAAGGCAGAAAAAGGUAAUCGGCAGCAGCAGAAGGUGCACAAGUAUGUGGCGGCCUGCGAACAGGUGAUGACACCGGUGCAUGAAGCUGUGGUAUCGCUCCAUCCAGCCAGGGUCUGGGAUGAUCUCCGCCCUCAGUUCUACGCCACCUUCUGGUCCCUCACCAUGUACGACUUGGCCGUGCCACAUGCUGCCUACGAGCGUGAGGUCAAUAAGCUCAAGGCGCAGAUCAAGCAAAUUGAGGAGAACCCUGAGAUACCCUUGAAUAAGAAAAAGAAGGAGAAGGAACGCUGCACUGCACUGCAGGAAAAACUACAGGAGGAGGAGAAGAAGCAGCUGGAGCAUGUCCAAAGAGUUCUACACCGCCUCAAACUGGAGAAAGACAACUGGUUAUUGGCCAAAUCCACAAAAAAUGAGACCAUAACAAAGUUCCUGCAGCUCUGCCUGUUCCCUCGCUGCAUCUUCUCAUCCAUCGAUGCGGUGUACUGUGCCCGAUUCGUUGAGCUUGUCCAUCAGCAGAAGACUCCCAACUUCUGCACCCUACUGUGCUACGACCGGGUGUUCUCUGCUAUCAUUUAUACUGUGGCCAGUUGUACGGAGAAUGAGUCUCACCGCUAUGGACGCUUCCUCUGCUGCAUGUUGGAGACGGUGACCCGCUGGCACAGCGACCGUGCCAUCUAUGAGAAGGAGUGUGCCAAUUAUCCCGGCUUCCUCACCAUCUUCAGAGCCACAGGCUUUGAUGGAGGAAACAAAGCAGAUCAGCUAGAUUAUGAAAACUUCCGCCAUGUGGUUCAUAAAUGGCAUUACAUGCUGACUAAAGCAUCCGUUCACUGCUUGGAAACAGGAGAUUACACCCACAUCAGGAACAUUUUAAUAGUACUUACCAAGAUCCUGCCCUGCUACCCGAAGGUCCUGAACCUGGGCCAAGCACUAGAGUGCCGUGUCCACAAGAUCUGCCUUGAAGAGAAGGAUAAGCGACCAGACCUCUAUGCCUUAGCAAUGGGUUAUUCAGGUCGCUUGAAAAGCCAGAAGGUGCACAUGGUCCCUGAGAAUGAGUUUCAUCACAAAGAGCAGCCAGCACGCAGCGCCACACCUGCCAGUCAACAGAAUGGCCCCGGCAGCACAGGCAAGCCUGCCACUAACACAAGCAAGACCGAGGAGGGGACUUCAGAGGAUGGUGAUCGGGCCAAGGAUAAAUCUCAGGGGACCACAAAGCCAGUGAACAAAGCCAACAGUGCAGCAGCCAAAGUGACCACCAGCAAUGGCAACGGUGCUCUCAACAGCACCAAAGCCGUUAAAGAACGGGACGACAAAGAGAAGAGUGGGAAGGAGAAAAAAGAGAAAAAAGAAAAGACACCCGGCAGCACACCAGAGGCAAAGGCAGAGAACCGCCGGGAAAAGCAGAGAGAUGAGAGGGCAGGGAAAGAGGAGCGGGUGGUGCGAGAGGGUAAGGAGAAGACCCCGAAGGCAGACAGGGAGAAAGUGAAGCCAGAGGAGAAGAGUGGAAAAGACGACAAGGUCAAAGCCGGGAACGGGGAGCCCAUGGAACCGUCCAGGGAGCGUGAUGCUGUCAAGGAGGCCAAGAGCAAGGAGAAAGGAGACAGGAGUGCUGUGGCCGGGUCCCUCAAGUCACCAGGUCCCAGAUCUGAGUCGGCUGAAUCUGAGAGGGAUCACAAAAGACGAAAGCUCGACAGUCACGCUUCCCCGUCCCACUCCUCGUCUGUUAAGGUUAGUAUGGCUUGAGGAAGGCUGUGCCAGUUUCUUCUCUAUCUGCCGGAGCGUUCCCUGCCGUUGCACAUUCCAGCAGCCCAGAAGAUCAACAAAGGAGAAUUGUCGCACACGGAAAUCCCAACCAUAGCCAUGGGAGUUGGAAAGCAUUCCAUGGACAUACGCAUGAUAUUUUGCAGAAUUGGGAGAGAUCUCCUCAAGGACUUAGCCAAGAAAAUAUUGUGUAUAUUGAGUAUUUUCAUAUUGAAAUAUUUACCUAUUUUCAUAUUAAUGAAAGCAAUCAGUGUGCCUUGGGAAGAAAGAAAUUUUUUAAGCAUUUCUAUAUUCCAUGUGGAGUUUUUUGUUUUUUUGUUUUUGAGAAUAAUACUCACCUGAAGAAAAAAAAAAAAAAAAGGCUUGCCAAAUAAAGAGCGCUCCAUAGGCAAUUUUUCCCCCCCCCCCAUACCCGGAGCAGUGUUUUACUACUUGAAAUGAUGCCCAAGAGUUUUUUCCCCCCUCCUUUUUUCUGAGCUGUGAAGAGUUCCUGUUUUUUGUGAUGUGAAAUAUUUCGCUAACCCCGCAACGUCCCCCGGAUGCAGCACAAAGAUGGAUGGUGUCCAGCAUCUUCCCUGCUGUAGGAGUGCCUCUGCUGCAGCUGAGUCCCUCUUCCACCUCCGCUUGUUGAAACGUCCUUCACGGAGUCUGCACGUCACGAGAUGCAAGUCCAGUCAGUCCUGCCGAGCCCCCUCUCCCCCCCUUCAGUGCUAUCCCUACGACUUACCAGCCAAUGGCAUCUUCAGUUGUACUACCUCCUGGCAAGCAAUGAGUGGAAAACCAGAGCCACCAGCAUCUGAGAUCAACGGAGAAUGUGAAUGUUGCAGUUUUCAAUCUACCAAAAAUACAGAAGAAAAUAAGCCCACCCCUGCAAAGAGAGAGGCAGUGAGGGAGAGAGUGGGCGAAGCCUGAAUCGUCUGGAGCGUUGCCCAAACCACUGGAAGCUUGUGAUAGGUCUUUAAUUUACCCUUCCACCAGAGAAAUAGGCUCCAUGUGUCUUUUCCAUUCCUGAACUGACAAUAGCAUCGAACCCAAGGAGUCCACAUCCAAGCACCACAUGAACUUCAAUUCAGUUGCCCGGUCCAAGAGCAGAGAGAGGGAGAUGGAGAAGAAAGACUCAGAGAACACACAAGGCCGAUCCAAAGAGAAG